AUUAGUAUAGCUCAGUUGGUUAGAGCAUGGUACUGAUAUCGCCAAGGUUGCAGGUUCAAUACCCCAUAUGGGACA